rnacentral:rRNA from 1 species
UACGUAGGUGGCAAGCGUUGUCCGGAUUUACUGGGCGUAAAGAGCGCGCAGGCGGUCGUACAAGUCGCGUGUGAAAGCCCCCGGCUCAACUGGGGAGGGUCACGCGAUACUGUUCGACUCGAAGGCAGGAGAGGGAAGCAGAAUUCCCGGUGUAGUGGUGAAAUGCGUAGAUAUCGGGAGGAAUACCAGUGGCGAAGGCGGUUGCCUGGAGCUUUGCUGACGCUGAGGCGCGAAAGCGUGGGGAGCGAUCCGG